rnacentral:rRNA from 1 species
AUUGAACGCUGGCGGGAGGCUUUACACAUGCAAGUCGAGCGAGCGGCGGACGGGUGAGUAAUAUCUGGGAACGUGCCCGAUGGAGGGGGAUAACUACUGGAAAUGGUAGCUAAUACCGCAUACUAUCAGAUGGGCCCAGGUGGGAUUAGCUAGUGGGUGGGGUAAAGGCUCACCAAGGCAACGAACCCUAGCUGGUCUGCGAGGAUGACCAGCCACACUGGAAAUGAGACACGGUCCAGAAGCAGACGGGAGGAAGCAGUGGGGAAUAUUGGACAAUGGGGGCAAGACUGAUGCAGCCAUGCCGCGUGUGUGAAGAAGGCCUUCGGGUUGUAAAGUACUUUAGGCAGGGAGGCGUUACCAGCAGAAGAAGCACCGGCUAACUCCGUGCCAGCAGCCGCGGUAAUUC